rnacentral:rRNA from 1 species
CGGUGGAUGCCUAGGCAGUUAGAGGCGAUGAAGGACGUGUAAGUCUGCGAAAAGCUGUGGUGAGUUGACAAAACGCAUUUAGCCACAGAUGUCCGAAUGGGGAAACCCAGUGCAUUUAUGCACUAUCUGCAACUGAAUACAUAGGUUGUAGAGGCAAACGAGGGGAACUGAAACAUCUAAGUACCCUUAGGAAAAGAAAUCAACCGAGAUUUCCCUAGUAGCGGCGAGCGAACGGGAAUUAGCCCUUAAGCUAAUUGUAAGCCAGUGGAAUGUGUUGGAAAGCACAACGGUACAAGGUGAUAGUCCUGUACACAAAGGCGAGCUUUAAGUGAAAUCGAGUAGGUCGGGACACGUGUUAUCUUGACUGAAUAUGGGGGGACCAUCCUCCAAGGCUAAAUACUCCUAACUGACCGAUAGUGAACCAGUACCGUGAGGGAAAGGCGAAAAGAACCCCUGUGAGGGGAGUGAAAUAGAACCUGAAACCGUAUACGUACAAGCAGUGGGAGCAGACUUGUUCUGUGACUGCGUACCUUUUGUAUAAUGGGUCAGCGACUUAUAUUUAGUAGCAAGGUUAAGUGAAUAACGGAGCCGUAGCGAAAGCGAGUGUUAACUGCGCGUUUAGUUGCUAGGUAUAGACCCGAAACCCGGUGAUCUAGCCAUGGGCAGGUUGAAGGUUGAGUAACAUCAACUGGAGGACCGAACCCACUGACGUUGAAAAGUCAGGGGAUGACCUGUGGCUGGGGGUGAAAGGCCAAUCAAACCGGGAGAUAGCUGGUUCUCCCCGAAAUCUAUUUAGGUAGAGCCUCGGACGAAUUCCAUUGGGGGUAGAGCACUGUUAAGGCUAGGGGGUCAUCCCGACUUACCAACCCUUUGCAAACUCCGAAUACCCAUGAGUGCUAUCCGGGAGACACACGGCGGGUGCUAACGUCCGUCGUGGAGAGGGAAACAACCCAGACCGCCAGCUAAGGUCCCAAAAUAUUGCUAAGUGGGAAACGAUGUGGGAAGGCUAAGACAGCUAGGAGGUUGGCUUAGAAGCAGCCACCCUUUAAAGAAAGCGUAAUAGCUCACUAGUCGAGUCGGCCUGCGCGGAAGAUGUAACGGGGCUAAGCAAUAUACCGAAGCUGCGGCAGCACGUUUACGUGCUGGGUAGGGGAGCGUUGUGUAAGUGGAUGAAGGUGAGUUGUAAAGCUUGCUGGACAUAUCACAAGUGCGAAUGCUGACAUGAGUAACGAUAAUGCGGGUGAAAAACCCGCACGCCGGAAGACCAAGGUUUCCUGUCCCAUGCUAAUCAGGGCAGGGUAAGUCGGCCCCUAAGGCGAGGCAGAAAUGCGUAGUCGAUGGGAAACGGAUUAAUAUUUCCGUACUUGGUAUAUCAGUGAAGGGGGGACGGAGAAGGCUAAACAAGCUUGGUGUUGGUUAUCCAAGUGAAAGUGUGUAGGGCGUUGAAUUAGGUAAAUCCGGUUCAACAUUAACCUGAGACACGAGACGAGUUUCUAAGGAAACGAAGUUGUUGAUGCCAUGCUUCCAGGAAAAGCCUCUAAACUUAUGAUAUAUCGAACCGUACCCCAAACCGACACAGGUGGUCAGGUAGAGAAUACUAAGGCGCUUGAGAGAACUCGGGUGAAGGAACUCGGCAAAAUUGUACCGUAACUUCGGGAGAAGGUACGCUGCUGUUUGUGAUGGGAUUUACUCCCUAAGCAGAUGGCAGCCGCAGUGACCAGGUGGCUGGGACUGUUUAUUAAAAACACAGCACUGUGCUAAAUCGAAAGAUGACGUAUACGGUGUGACACCUGCCCGGUGCCGGAAGGUUAAUUGAUGGGGUUAGCGUAAGCGAAGCUCUUGAUCGAAGCCCCGGUAAACGGCGGCCGUAACAAUAACGGUCCUAAGGUAGCGAAAUUCCUUGUCGGGUAAGUU